CUACGGGUCGCAGCAGUGGGGAAUAUUGCACAAUGGAGGAAACUCUGAUGCAGCAACGCCGCGUGGAGGAUGACGCAUUUCGGUGUGUAAACUCCUUUUAUAUGUCAAGAAAAUGACGGUAGCAUAUGAAUAAGCACCGGCUAACUCCGUGCCAGCAGCCGCGGUAAUACGGAGGGUGCAAGCGUUACUCGGAAUCACUGGGCGUAAAGGACGCGUAGGCGGGUUGGAAAGUCAGGUGUGAAAUCCUACAGCUUAACUGUAGAACUGCACUUAAAACUUCUAAUCUAGAGUAUGGGAGGGGAGGUGGAAUUAGUGGUGUAGGGGUAAAAUCCGUAGAUAUCACUAGGAAUACCUAAAGCGAAGGCGAUCUCCUGGAACAUUACUGACGCUAAGGCGUGAAAGCGUGGGGAGCAAACAGGAUUAGAUACCCUUGUAGUC
rnacentral:rRNA from 1 species